UACGUAGGGUGCGAGCGUUAAUCGGAUUUACUGGGCGUAAAGCGCGCGUAGGUGGUUAGGUAAGCGAGAUGUGAAAGCCCCGGGCUUAACCUGGGAACGGCAUUUCGAACUGUCUGGCUAGAGUGUGGUAGAGGGUAGUGGAAUUUCCUGUGUAGCGGUGAAAUGCGUAGAUAUCGGGAGGAACACCAGUAGCGAAGGCGGCCAUCUGGCUGAUAACUGACGCUGAGACGCGAAAGCGUGGGGAGCAAACAGG
rnacentral:rRNA from 1 species